GAUGAACGCUGGCGGCGUGCCUAAUACAUGCAAGUCGAGCGAACAGACGAGGAGCUUGCUCCUCUGACGUUAGCGGCGGACGGGUGAGUAACACGUGGAUAACCUACCUAUAAGACUGGGAUAACUUCGGGAAACCGGAGCUAAUACCGGAUAAUAUAUUGAACCGCAUGGUUCAAUAGUGAAAGACGGUUUUGCUGUCACUUCUAGAUGGUUCCGCGCCGCAUUAGCUAGUUGGUAAGGUAACGGCUUACCAAGGCAACGAUGCGUAGCCGACCUGAGAGGGUGAUCGGCCACACUGGAACUGAGACACGGUCCAGACUCCUACGGGAGGCAGCAGUAGGGAAUCUUACGCAAUGGGCGAAAGCCUGACGGAGCAACGCCGCGUGAGUGAUGAAGGUCUUCGGAUCGUAAAACUCUGUUAUUAGGGAAGAACAAAUGUGUAAGUAACUAUGCACGUCUUGACGGUACCUAAUCAGAAAGCCACGGCUAACUACGUG
rnacentral:rRNA from 1 species